rnacentral:rRNA from 1 species
UACGAAGGGGGCUAGCGUUGCUCGGAAUCACUGGGCGUAAAGCGCACGUAGGCGGAUCGCUAAGUCAGGGGUGAAAUCCUGGAGCUCAACUCCAGAACUGCCUUUGAUACUGAGGAUCUUGAGUCCGGGAGAGGUGAGUGGAACUGCGAGUGUAGAGGUGAAAUUCGUAGAUAUUCGCAAGAACACCAGUGGCGAAGGCGGCUCACUGGCCCGAUACUGACGCUGAGGCACGAAAGCGUGGGGAGCAAACAGG